rnacentral:tRNA from 1 species
GUUCUUAUCGUCUAAUGGUUAGGACACUACUCUUUCACAGUAGGAAUACGGGUUCAAAUCCCGUUGAGAAUA